UACAGAGACUGCAAGCGUUAUUCGGAUUCACUGGGCGUAAAGGGUGCGCAGGCGGCCUGGUGUGUCAGAUGUGAAAUCCCGAGGCUCAACCUCGGAACUGCGUCGGAAACUACUCGGCUAGAGUACUGGAGAGGGUAACGGAAUUCACGGUGUAGCAGUGAAAUGCGUAGAUAUCGUGAGGAACACCAGAGGCGAAGGCGGUUACCUGGACAGUUACUGACGCUCAGGCACGAAAGCAUGGGGAGCAAAAGGG
rnacentral:rRNA from 1 species